rnacentral:rRNA from 1 species
AAACCCUGAUGCAGCGACGCCGCGUGAGCGAUGAACGCUUCGGGGUGUAAAGCUCUUUCGACGGGAACGAUAAUGACGGUACCCGGAGAAGAAGCUGCGGCUAACUACGUGCCAGCAGCCGCGGUAAUACGUAGGCAGCAAGCGUUGUUCGGAAUUACUGGGCGUAAAGAGUGUGUAGGCGGUGCUCUAAGUUCGGUGUGAAAUCUCCCGGCUCAACUGGGAGGGUGCGCCGAAAACUGGGGUGCUGGAGCGCGGGAGAGGAAAGCGGAAUUCCUGGUGUAGCGGUGAAAUGCGUAGAUAUCAGGAGGAACACCGGCGGUGUAGACGGCUUUCUGGACCGUASUGACGCUGAGACACGAAAGCGUGGGUAGCAAACAGGAUUAGAUACCCUGGUAGUCCACGCYCUAAACGAUGCAUACUUGGUGUCGSNNUUCCAGUUGGUCGGUGCCGGASUAACGCGUUAAGUAUGCCG